UACGUAGGGGGCAAGCGUUGUCCGGAAUCAUUGGGCGUAAAGCGCGUGUAGGCGGUUCGGUAAGUCUGCUGUGAAAGUCCAGGGCUCAACCCUGGGAUGCCGGUGGAUACUGUCGGGCUAGAGUACGGAAGAGGCGAGUGGAAUUCCCGGUGUAGCGGUGAAAUGCGCAGAUAUCGGGAAGGAACACCAAUUGCGAAGGCAGCUCGCUGGACGUCGACUGACGCUGAGACGCGAAAGCGUGGGGAGCAAACAGGGAGUUAAGAUAAUCCCAGGUACGUU
rnacentral:rRNA from 1 species